rnacentral:rRNA from 1 species
AGAGUUUGAUCCUGGCUCAGAUUGAACGCUGGCGGCAGGCCUAACACAUGCAAGUCGGGCGGUAACAGAGAGAAGCUUGCUUCUCUGCUGACGAGCGGCGGACGGGUGAGUAAUGCCUGGGAAAUUGCCCAGUCGAGGGGGAUAACAGUUGGAAACGACUGCUAAUACCGCAUACGCCCUACGGGGGAAAGCAGGGGACCUUCUGGCCUUGCGCGAUUGGAUAUGCCCAGGUGGGAUUAGCUAGUUGGUGAGGUAAUGGCUCACCAAGGCGACGAUCCCUAGCUGGUCUGAGAGGAUGAUCAGCCACACUGGAACUGAGACACGGUCCAGACUCCUACGGGAGGCAGCAGUGGGGAAUAUUGCACAAUGGGGGAAACCCUGAUGCAGCCAUGCCGCGUGUGUGAAGAAGGCCUUCGGGUUGUAAAGUACUUUCAGUUGGGAGGAAGGCGUUGAUGCUAAUAUCAUCAACGAUUGACGUUACCAACAGAAGAAGCACCGGCUAACUCCGUGCCAGCCGCCGCGGUAAUAC